GAGAAUUAAAGAGAGACCAGCUGGAAUGCUACAGUGAGAAGAGUCCGCUUUUCUAUCAAGAAUUGACAUGGGAGUCACCUGAAAGGGCUCUUAAUGGCCAAAGCUGGAACAAUUUGAACAACAAAUACACGAGAUAGUGUUGGAUCAUAACCUAAAGGAAAAACUUUCCCUACACAGCUGAGGAAGUGCAGAACUCUGGAAUUCCAACAAUCUUAAUGCCAAGUCUAUCCAAGUCAUGGAAGCAGAGAACAAACCUGAGGCUAUGAAAGUUUUUCCAAACUGCCAGCCGCAGAAUGACACACUGGCCCUUCAGAGGACAGAAUUUCAGCUCUGCAAACACAAUACUUUUACAAGGAUUAUGUAUAUGCUGAAAGUAAAACAAAGUUAAAAGUUCAGGAAAAUGAUUGUACCUCUCUGCAGAAGUAUGUGUUUAUUUGUACCUCAGUUUCUGUGUAAUCACUUAGAACUGAUGGGGAGAAUAGUGCUAUUAUUAAUCAUAACAGUUUUUGUCGUUUUUCCAUCAAUGUAAGAGUACAUAGUGAAAAUAAACUGUUGCUAA